GGCUGGCAUGUCAGUUAACUGCUAGUAGUCUGUUGUUAUUUAUGUAUUAUUGUCAUUUUGUUUAUUUUCUUUGGUUACAUCUUCUGACAUCAGACUCGGACUUCUCUUGGACUGAAUUUUAAUGUGCGUAUUGUUAUGCGUUUACUUUUCUACAUUGGCUAGAGGUAUAGGGGAGGGUUGAGAUCUCACAAACAUGUUUAACCCUGCCGCAUUUUGCGCCUGUCCAAGUCAGGAGCCUCUGGCCUUUGUUAGUCUUGUAUUAUUUUAAUUUUAGUUUCUUGUGUACAAUUUGGAAAUUAGUAUGGCGUUCAUUAUUACUGAACUAGUAUAUAUUUGUUUGAGGGCCAGCUGAAGGACGCCUCCGUGUGCGGGAAUUUCUCGCUACAUUGAAGACCUGUAGGUGACCUUCUGCUGUUGUUUUUUUCAAUGGUCGGGUUGUUGUCUCUUUGGCACAUUCCCCAUUUCCAU
rnacentral:lncRNA from 1 species